GCUUUCGUAGCUCAGUUGGUUAGAGCACCCGUUUAGUAAGCGGGAGGUCUUGAGUUCAAAUCUCAACGAAAGCA
rnacentral:tRNA from 1 species